AUUGAACGCUGGCGGCAUGCCUUACACAUGCAAGUCGAACGGUAACAGGUCUUCGGAUGCUGACGAGUGGCGAACGGGUGAGUAAUACAUCGGAACGUGCCUAGUAGUGGGGGAUAACUACUCGAAAGAGUGGCUAAUACCGCAUGAGAUCUACGGAUGAAAUCAGGGGAUCGCAAGACCUUGUGCUACUAGAGCGGCCGAUGGCAGAUUAGGUAGUUGGUGGGAUAAAAGCUUACCAAGCCGACGAUCUGUAGCUGGUCUGAGAGGACGAUCAGCCACACUGGGACUGAGACACGGCCCAGACUCCUACGGGAGGCAGCAGUGGGGAAUUUCGGACAAUGGGCGCAAGCCUGAUCCAGCAAUGCCGCGUGCAGGAUGAAGGCCUUCGGGUUGUAAACUGCUUUUGUACGGAACGAAAAGCCCCGGGUUAAUACCCUGGGGUCAUGACGGUACCGUAAGAAUAAGCACCGGCUAACUACGUGCCAGCAGCCGCAGUAA
rnacentral:rRNA from 1 species